UAUCAGAAAGAAAGAAGAGGAAAAAAAAUUAUAAUUAUUAAUUCAUGAUGCUAUGCAGGCUUUGUGAGGUUGGAGGUAACUGCUAUUGAAGAAAUGCUUCAGGCCCUGGUCAACACAACGAAAGACAAUGAACAGAAAUCGCCAUUUGAUGUGAAGAGUGACUGUAAAGGAAGACAAGAAGAAGGCACAAGGAGAUUUGCUCCAAACUAGUUCUUCCCAUAAAAUCUCUGCCCCGGCCAGUUGCAGUGGCUCACGUCUGUAAUCCCAGCACUUUGAGAGGCCGAGACCAGUCCAAGAAGAUUGUAUAUAAGAGACACCUGAUAAUUUCAAAAUCCUAGGCCCACUUCCUGAGCUGAGCAAGGACCAUGGAAUUUCACUGAGCCUACCAGAUAAUCCAGGAUAAGCUCCCUAUUUAAGCAUGCAACCUCAAAGAGAAAAGUUUGAGGAAAUCACUUCAAGGACAAAAAAUUGCAAUGUAAAGAGAAUUAUUUAUCUCCAAAUUCCAGAUUACCCCCCUGCCCAACCCCUGCCAGCAGCACCGUCCACAUGGUUUCUCAUUUAGUUUUGUGUUAGUUUAACAAAGUAGACUCUGCAAUCUGGAUAAAAUAGUAAGUCACCUCAGGUAAUGCAGUUUUGAAGGAAAGCACAGGCUGAAUACAGAAAUCUCUUUCCAAGAGGUGGUAUUUUGUCUGAGAGAAUUUCCUGAUUUUUGAAGCCAUCUAAUAAUUGGAGUAUGUACUAAACAGAUAGGAAUUUAUUUUGUGAGAAAUUUUAUUGAACAGAUGGAUCUGAGAACGCUGUCUGGGCUUGGUACCAAGAGCUGGUAUUUCACAGCAGCGACCGCCUCACAGACGAGCUGUGGGAAGCAGGAGGGAGACUCUCUCUUAGGGUGCCACUACUAUGGAGACACAGCUGGGCUGAACAAGAUUUGCUUCAAACGACAACAAGAGAGACAGAAAGUAUCUGGUUCAACCGCUGCCCGAGCAGGCAGGCACCAGAAGAGCUAGCAGCCAAUCCGGCCAUGCUCGAAGCCAGCUCUGCAGCUCAGCCAAUCAGUGACAUCAUUG
rnacentral:lncRNA from 1 species